rnacentral:lncRNA from 1 species
AGUCAGAAUACAGUACCGGAGCGCAGCGCUUAACCCUCAGGUUGUGCCGCAACCGAUGCACUAUCCCCUACCCCACCGUUCCAAUACCCUUACCGUCGGACUCGGCACGAACCAGCAGCGACAUCCCCUUGAGCUCCUCUACCAGGUUCGUACGGGCUGCCCUAGCAGGGGCUACGGCGGCCGACGAGCCCAACGCACAGUACCUUUACCUCCGAACACACUUCCGGAGAGUCAGACCUCGGCGAUCUCGCGAGGAGUGCGCCGCCGAGGUGAGCCGGCCAAGGAGGGACUUCCUCCUCUUUCGGCCCCGCUUCCUGAUUCGGGAAUCUCAGUUGGGCGGGGAAGUCCCGCGAGCUUUUCUACCUGCGCCGGGAGGAAGCGUGUGUAGAAGGUUGCCUUGGCGAUGGAGUUGCCGAGUUGUUCUUCGGGAUUUGUAGGGCUGAUGUUGGUCAUGUGGCGGGUUGUCAACUCUGGACUUGCUCUCAGCAGAACAGAGCCAGGCUGAGAAGUCCGAAUGCGUGCACAGGACUAGAGUGAAGCCAAGUGUAGGGACUCAGGCUGACAGCCCGAAAAGGACUGAGACGGGGUGAGGGUGUUCGAGUCAUUCGUGAAGACGAUGGGAGGUCGAGCCUUCACCCACUAAAAUCCGUUAUAGAAUCUGCGAGGCUUCUGCCGGGAAGGUGUUCCAUGGCCACGAUGAGCAGUGGGCGAUCUAAUGUUCCACAAACGCGUUGACAGUUCCUAUUUCCCGCCGAAGCGUUCUUCCGUUAGCCGGGUACCACGGACCAUUAAAAGGUUCAGAGAGACCGGCGGCAGCGACGAGGCAAGCACAGGCGUACAGCCUCACAAUCCUCGGGGAGCUCUCAGCUUCAUGUGCCGCAAGAACGGUUUCCAGCGUGAAGUUAACGUCGCUCAGAGCGUGACGCUCGCCCGAAGGCAUCCGCUCCCAGCGUAGUUCUGCCGCCUCUCCGUUCUCUUAUAUGGUCCCUCAACUCUUGGCUCUAACCUGAAAGGUGAACACGGGGCAGGUGCACAUGUUGAUCCCGCGGUGUAUUUCGGGAGUUGUAGUCAUCACCAUGCUUGUCAAAGUGUGCUUAUGAUUUGACGAGGUUAGGCGGCAACUCAUGUUUAAAAGGGUGUCUUAUGUACAUAGUCGCUUGAUUGAAAAGGAUUUCAAAAUUUGAACUAUCAUUGCGAUUCUUUAAAUGUAUGAGGGACCAAGAAAAUUAGCCUGGUCUGCUGUCAUUUGCCUGUAACGACUGCAUAUGGAAAUUGCAGCCUAUGGUAUGUAACAGGAUUCUGCCUAUGAUAAAAGGACGUGAAUCACUAUACAUAAGUCCCUGAUAAUCUGUGACUGAUAUGGACAAAAUGUACUUUGAACCAGGGAAAAUAUGACUUGUUUGGGGAAGGCCAUAGAAAGCUUUCCAGAGUCAGUGUUUUAGCCCAAUGUUAGAGGACACCCAAGGAUUUGUCUAAGCAUCCUUUUCAUUGCCCACUCUAAAGGAGAAAAGAACGUUGGCAAGAGCACUGGAUAGAUCCUGGAAGCCCACUCAGCCUUUAGGACAGAAAUUUCAGGUGCCCAGAGCAUUCUCUGUAGAAUGUUUUGGUCAGGGUCCAUCCAGCUUAUGCUGUAGUCUGGAAGCAUCACUGUGCCAUAGCCAUACCUUCCCCCAGAGUCUUUUACAAGGAAACUACAACUCCAAAAGGUUGUAGCCCAAAUGAGCCCCUGAUGUCCUUGAUCUUUACAAGUAAUACCUUUAUAUGUGAAAAAAUUAAAAUGGCAAAGAACUUCUGCAAUGCAAGGUAAGUCUCUUCAGCUCCCGCUUCCCGCUAUUCUCCAGAAAACAGUGACUAUAUCACUCCCCACUAGAUCCCCUCUCAUUCUCACUGUGUGUGAGGUUAGACUGGGGGCAGUUCCUUGGUGUGUGUCCUAUACAUUUGUACAUUUGAUUUAAUGCUGCUAUCAUCAUCUAAAAAUGUUAAGUAAUUUUUGAACAUUGUUUUCUUUCCACUAGGUUUUAUGCUGUAUUUUGUUUUAGAAAUAGUUUAGCAUGUGCAAAUGUGUGUGUAAAUAUACUGUAGUUGUCUUUUGAUGAUUUAAAUGACUGUUUCCAGGACUCAAAUCCAUCCCAAUAUCUGUAUGAUGAAGUCUUUCAUAUAAAAUGGCAUAUGUUUUGCUUAUAACCUAUAAGGUCCUGCAGAAUAAUUUGUAUCAUUUUUGGAUUAUAUUACUAUAAUACUUUAUAUAGUUAUAUUACAAUACAAAUGCCACACAUUUUUAAAAAAGAUUUUUAUUGCGUGUGUUUUUGUAUGUGUGUGGUUACCAGAAGGUUUUGGAUGCUCUAGAACCAGAGUUAUAGUUGUGAAUAGCCAGAUGGGUUCUCCACCAGAAUUCUUUAACUGCUGAAACAUCUCAUCACUGCCAUAGAAGCUUUUAAAAAAUGAGAUUUAUUCAUUUGGUGAAGGGAGGGGCUGUGCUACAACAUAGUGUAGAAGUCAGUCCUAGAAGUCAAAGUCAGGUUGUCAGUCUUGGCGGCAAGCACAUUAGAACCCUUUCUCCUACCUGACACAGGUAUUUUUGCAGGAGGAAAAAAAAUGCAGAAAACAAAAAACAAAAAACCCUCCCUUAAGCCAUAUGAGUUUGGUAGAAUUCAUGUAUAUAAUAUGUAUGUAUGUAUGUAUAUUGUUACCACUUUCAGUUCUCUGAUGACCUUCUCUGAGAAUGAUUGUGUGUGUGUGUGUGUGUGUGUGUGUGUGUGUGUGUGUGUGUGUGUAUUUAUAGAAAGGCUUACAGCCUAUGGUCUAGCUAGUCCAAUGGCUCUCUAUGAAUGGAAGGUCCAAGAAUCUAGUAAUUUAGUCUAUGAGGCUGUAUGUCUCUAUGACUCUGUUGGUCUUCAGUAUAUGGCAGAAUCUGAAGAAGUAGGCUCCAGUGAAGGAAUGGACUUGCCAGUGAGAUCAAGAGUAGGAACAAGUAAAGAGAGCAAACUUCCUUCUUCCAUGUCCUUUACAUAAGCUGCCAGGCAAGGUGUGGCCCAAAUUAAAGGUGAUCUUCCCACUUCAAAUAAUUUCAUUAAGGAAAAAAAAAUCCCUGUGUACCCAGGUUACUGUCUUAGUUGGAGUUUUAUUGCUGUGAAGAAACACGAACACCACAACAAUAAUUGGGGAAAACAUUCAUUGGGGCUGGCUUACAGCUUAGAAGUUCAGUCUAUUAUCAACAUGGCAGAAGCCUGGCAGCACACAAGUAUACAUGGUGCUGGAAAGGUAGCUGAGUGUUCUACAUCUUGAUUCACAGGCAGCAGGGAGAGAGAAUGUGCCACUGGGCCUAGGUUGGGCUUUUGAAACUCCAAAGCCUAACCCCAAGGCCAUACAUAUUCCAACAAGGGCACAAGUCCUACUAUUUUCAAAUAGUGCCACUUCCUGUUAGCCUAUGGGGGCCAUUUUCAUUCAAAGCAGCACAGGAACCUAUCCAAUUGCUUGGGUUUUAGUUAAUUCCAGAUUUAGUCAAGCUGACAACCAUGAAUGGCCAUCACAGGUUGUAUACUAAGGCAAGAAAACAAGCAGUAAGAUUGUUUUUGCGGAAUGGUUUUAGUGUCUGACACAAUGUGGCCUCUUUUUGCUGACAAUAACCAUGUUGCCUGUGCAAAAUUUCAGGCACCUAAAAAAUAUGGAGGAAAUAACUAGAGACUGAAAUUGAGGUAUUUAGGAUAUUUCAGAGACUAAAUCUAGGUCCCAAGUGAUAGACUUGAGCUUAUUUCUUGCAAUUUUAAGGGUAGAUAUAGGACUUGAGGUACGUGGAGCUCCAUUUUAUAUUUUAAAGAUAUCUGAAUGCUCAGGCUAGUCUUGGCUAUGUAACCAAGGCUUUUGUUGGGAAAACCGAAGCCUUAAAAUGUGGUUGAGAGCCCCUUAGUGAUUUUGGGAUUGUAGACUUUUGGACCCUCAGACCUUGUAGAUGCAGCUCAUGAAUCCUUAUAAAAGCAAGCACUUUCUUUCCUUUACUACUUAUUUAUUUUCUCUCUAGCUCUGAAACCAUGGUAACUAGGUUUAAAUCUAUGGGAACUGCUUGGAAGAUUACACACCAAAGGACCUAAAAUCAGCCAGAAUGUUGAGUUGGGAAGUCACAUUACACCUGGAAUUAGAUUUUCAGUGUGCAGCUAAGAGGCUUCGUAGACUUCACUUGCACUCUUUGGGAGCAGGUAUUUAACCAUAAAAUAGACUACAGGCAUAGGACAAAGUCAUUGCAGGUUUAGCUCUUCAAGGCCUGGAAAAGUUUUGCUGAGAAAAGUGGAAACGAGUUCUCCACAUAGCAGCUUGGACUCCUGAGGAAGAGAGCUAGUUCCUCUGAUGUGCUCACUUGUGAAUCAUACUUGUUUUGUUAAGUGGUUUAGGUGGUCAUCUCAAAGUGUUUUUGUUUUUCUCUGAUACACCUUUUAAUUUCAUAACCACCAGAAGUGUUGAAUAAUAGUGGUGCUUGUUUUGUUCCUGACUUUGACAUAGUGUUAUGUUUCUAAUACUUAGCUAAUAUAUAUGUAUAUAUAUGCAUACAUAUAUUUCUAAUACUUCUAAUAUAUAUAAAUAUAUAUAUCAUGUGCAUUCAGGAUCCUGCUGAGGGCAGAAGAGGUUGUCGGAUCUCUUGGAACUGUAGUUUACUGGUGGUUGAUAUAAGCUAGCCCUGUAAGCCAUCAUGUGGGUGCUGGGAACCCAGUCCUAACUGCUGAGCCGUCUCUCCAGCCCAUUUCUAAUUUUUGACUGAUAUUUGCCAAAUUAUGGACAUUGUAUACAUUGAAUUUUUUAAGUUACUUCUCUGGGAACUGGUGAUAUGUGUUCCCCUCAAUAUUUUUGUUAUUUUAUAUGUUAUGAUAAUUACCUACAUAUUUUAUGCUUUGUGUUCUUUAGUAUCACUUUCUAGUUUAUGAAUUCUUGAGAAUUAUGGUAAUUUUAUAGGCACAAUUUAAAAAUAUUAGUAGGCAACUGCUACUGUAGUUUUCAUGAAACAUGGUGUUUUUCAGUACUCCUAGCACAUGUAGAAUAAAGUUCAGUCUUAAUU